UCUCUCUGAAUCUGCGAACGGCUCCGCAAACCAGUUGUAAACUAUAGCAAGCAUACCUCUGGCCCUCGGGCCGGAGGUUAUAAGGAUAACCCUGGUAAUUCUGAGGCUAAUACUCGACCGUAACAUCUGGCCGACCGGCAACGGAAGGUUGGAGGACGUGUACUUAAUCGCGGAAUACGCCAGGAAAGGAUGCACGUUCAGACCACCACACAAACGGUAGGAAGAACCACUUCGGUGGCGACGCUCGUGUCCGGGUGGCUCUUGCUUUGUGCUUCUGACCUAUCAACUAGAUGGCAGUGUAACGGACGUGCUAUGGUUACAACGGGUACAGAGGAUAAGGGUUCGAUCCUGGAGAGUGGGCCUGAGAGAUU
rnacentral:rRNA from 1 species